rfam:Picea glauca, whole genome shotgun sequence.
GGGUGCGAUCAUACCAGCGUUAAUGCAUCAGAUCCCAUCGAAAAUCCCUAAUUAAGCACACAUGGGCUAGAGUAGUACUGGGAUGUGUGACCUCCCGAGAGUUUCUAGUGUUGCACCCU